UUGGAGUGAAGGAGGAAGAACAUAAAACACUCAAUCAACUCUUUGUUAAGGUCUUAAUGAAGGAGCCGAGACUCCCCACAGCUAAUAUCUCCAACAUGAUGGCAGCACAUGUUUAACGAUCUGACUAUCCGAAAAUGAGGAAAAGCUGAAUCUCUGAAGCAGCAGUUCCAGUGACACGGUGCUCUGAAUUAGCCCACGGGGAGCUCAGCUGGCUGCGUCAGAGCAGCACUCCUGAUCUCCCUCGUAACCCCCGGCUACAACUUUUGAGGCCCAUCGCUCCUGGCACUGCCUCCACCAGCCUGACAGGCCUGAGGUCUUCAUCACUCCCUGCUGGAGGCCAUCCAAACCCAUCCCAGCCAGCCUGCUCCUCUGAGGUCCAGCGCUGGAAUGCAGACUUACACACAUAAUCCCGGCUCAAGGACGUCCAGCUUAGCUGUGGUGACGAGUGCUACGUGAGGAAGAGACAAGUUGGAUUGAGCCAGUACAUUCCUUAGGGAUCCUUAGCUACUGCACAUCCUAUCACAGUCCUUACACACCUGAGCCAGGGCUGCAGGCCACGGCCCUUUCCACCGAAGGGACAUUAAAUGUCAUCUGUCAAAGUUGUUGUACUUUGGUUUAAGUAUUCCGGCUCAGAGCUGAUGUCCAUCCAUCACUCUUUAUAGCAUGGAAACAUUGUUAGCACUUAUUAAAGAAGAAACCUCAGCAACCACCUAUAAACACUUCACCGGUGAGGUCACGGACCAGGAAGCGACGAGUCCUGACUUAUCACUGUGUGGGUUCCUCAGUUUGAGCAUGUAAAAAAGGCUACUGGAGCAAAAAUGACUAUAAAAACUGCCUCCACGAUCGGAUGACCUCAUCCCUCUCAGGCAGAUAGCCAUGCAGGUAGAGAGUAAACAGGAUGGCAGGUCAAAAGGGCAAGACUUGAACUGUGUCUUAUCAGAAGUGUUUGUGUAUAAACGCCAACAAUGAAGCUGCAGAUUAAAAAUCUAUAUUAUUGCA